rnacentral:rRNA from 3 species
GUAACCUUUUAGGAGCUAGCCGUCGAAGGUGGGACAAAUGAUUGGGGUGAAGUCGUAACAAGGUAGCCGUAUCGGAAGGUGCGGCUGGAUCACCUCCUUUCUAAGGA